ACGCUCGACACCUACGGGAGGCAGCAGUGGGGAAUAUUGCACAAUGGGGGAAACCCUGAUGCAGCGACGCCGCGUGAGUGAAGAAGUAUUUCGGUAUGUAAGGCUCUAUCAGCAGGGAAGAAGAUGACGGUACCUGAGUAAGAAGCCCCGGCUAACUACGUGCAAGCAGCCGCGGUAAUCUGAGCGGGCUGGCAAGGC
rnacentral:rRNA from 1 species